CAACUAACUGUCUAGUGGCUACCAGGCUAGAACUACAACCUACUGUCUAGUGCCUACCUGGCUACAACUACAACCUACUGUCUAGUGGCUACCUGGCUAUAACUACAAUCUUCUGUCUAGUGCCUACCUGGCUACAACUACAACCUACUGUCUAGUGGCUACCAGGCUUAUUCCAGCAGGCCACAUCUAGAUUUAGAUAUGUACUUGUUUCUACUCUAUCGAGGCACGUGAUUGUGUGUAUAUAUGUAUGUGUGUACGAGUGUAAAGAAGCCACAUGAGACUCACAUGUCAAAGAUGAAAAACAUGUUCGACAUCUUGGGACAUACUUAAGACAUACUUCGGUGUCCAGUUCAUACGUCAGCGUUUACAGUCACUUGGUGUUUUUAUGCGCCUGGAUUUUGAAGAUAAACCAUUUUAAGUGGUCUCUUAGUAAUAUCAAGUUGUAUCAGUCCAGCAUUGAAGUCGUCAGUUAAAUAUUUCAUUCUUUACUCGGAUGUGUCAACAGAAAAGCUUUUUGCUUUCUUAUUAUUGGACAGUUAAUUAUGUGUUAAGCUCAGUUACUCAAUUACUCCUGUGCAUUGGAAAUGUAUUCAAACACGUUGGAUAAUUUGUUGCUCUAACCCAGUAGGAAGUAGCGUAUUGUGUUAUUGCUAAUUCAGUAUGGAACAUCUUCAAUUGUUAAGACAGCUAAAAUGGUAGUGGGCGUGGUAAUGUCAGUUAUUGUCAUUUCAAUCUGGAGUUCCGCCUCUGCUACUAAUGACACUGUGUUAACAAUCAAGUAAAAUGGUACAAGAAUUACAUUCUCAAGAUCAAAUCUAGCUACAUUCUAUGCGUGUCUUUGCAACAAAGUCAGGAGUCCUUGUUUGGCUCGAUCGGAAAAAAAACUUCCAAAUGUUUGUGAGGUUGACAUUAAAAAUGUAUCUGGACAAUACGCCGGCAAAAGUGAGGACAUGAAUCUAGUGAGCACGUGUAAGGUCGGUGAAGAUAAAAGCGGUGAAUUCCUGAUCAACUGUACUAAAGUAGUCCACAGCAAGCCUGUUAUUUCCAUCCAUUUUUCAGACGUUACAAAGAAACUCAACGAUACUUGUGUUCGUUCUUUUGUCAACAUAAAACUGGUUAAUGCAAGACUAAUGUCUGGGUCUCCUGACGUCAUAAUAUCUAAUAAUAAUGAUAUGAUGAUAUCUAUGGAGCCCCGGAAAACUCUGGGGUCCGAGCUUCUCACAAAUUCUAACACAAAGCCUCUUCAAUCUUGCCAUUAUAUUAUUAUAAUGGCCGUUCUACUAACAAUGUCGUGCGCAUGCAUAGCGAUCUUUGUGCUUUUGUCCAUGUUAAGACAUAAAGGCUGGAAAUGUAUGAACUGUCCGCUGUAUAAAAAUACGACCAGCGCGAACAUUAAAAAUGAGCAACCAGAAUCGCAUUACGCAUUCAUUGACGAUAUCUGCUCUAAUCCACCUACCAAGUAUUCUAGUUUGAGAAACAUAUCAAGAAAUAUUCAGCACAUGUAUAAUACGUCCAAUGCAAGCAGAAAGGAUGUGUCAUUUGAUUCUUUCCCUCCGAUAAAGACUAGUAGAGGAUCAAGCAAUAACUCGCUCUCUGUUGUGGAAAUAUACAAUGUGGCAUCCAAUGUCACGGGUCUUCCAGACAAAACUGAUCAGAAUAGCAGUUUUGACAGCACAAAUAAUAAUGUAUACAGCAAUGACAACUCUAAAUUUGAUCCGUACUACAAGAAAACGUGUAUAAAACGCUGAAAUGUCAAUUGGAAGACAUUGACUCAGGGCCAAACUAAAGUGUAAAUUUGAAUGAAUAGGCUUUUCAAUGAGAAUAACAAAAAGGUACAGAGACUUGAUUUAGAACAUUUCGGAAGACGAAAAACUGAUUCUAGGAUUAAGUGUUGGCUCUAUGCUUUAAAGGUUUAUGUAUUAGAACAAUGUAUGAAGAAUUAAUAUUUGAAAUGUCUGAAACACAAACGUGUUAUCAACCUAAUAAAAUAAACAGAAAGACACAAAGAUAAAGGUGCAAUUCUUAUUUCUGAUGGUAGGUCAAAUUUAUACGAAUGCUUCUUCAAUAUUGUUGUAAACCUGGUGGUGGCACAGAUAAGGGUAGUGGUGUGAGUGUAGUCAGCCGACGCAAAUCGCCCCAGGCCAGCGCUAGACGAGCGGUCAACCGUGACGAGUUACGACGGUCAGCCGAGACGAGUGUCAACAAGACGGUUCGGGAAAGAUCGGCGUCGUGACAGCGCUCAGGUGCGUUAGAGGAUGUAGUCAUCUGACCCCCCACAAUGGUCGAGCGACGUUCUGUCCGGUUCUAGAAGGCCAGCAGGGACCCUAUAUAAAGAGCGAAGGUAUCAGAGACGGGGAGUGACAACUUCCCGAUCUACGGUUCAUUACGACGGCUCAGUACAAGUCCGAGACAAGACAGAGAGACCAGUGCAAGAGUUGAUACGGCGGUACGGCUAUUAACGGAGAGAUAUUUGUACAGUCUUGUGUUACGUGCUGCUAAUUGUACAGUAUUGGCUGUUAUUUUAUUGACAUUAAACUGUUAUGUUAUUUUGGAGCCCUGAGUUGUCAAAUUCUUUAAGUUGGCGGUGUGUGGUUCAGUUUGCAGCAGAGAGCCUGGAUAGUGAGAUUCGUAACAAUACCUUUAGAGCAUGAAACAGAUUGCCUAAAUCAGCCAGGAAGAGAAAUUACUAUAUACGACUAUUUUGACAAGUAGAUAUGCUUAGGGUGUAAUUAUCUUAAUUAAUAAUAUAAGAUAAAUCAGAAAAUGUAUUAGCCUAUAUUUUGAGUCCUUUCCCCGUGUAUCGAUGUCAUAUUAAUUAACUUUAAGACAGUGAGGCUUAUUCAUUGCUCAGAAGACCAGUCAUUAUAGCCGUGAAAGAGGCUUCCUGGUCAAAAUCUACCAAGAAACAGGGUAGCCAGAUUUUUUUUCAAUCUAUCCAACUAGACUAGAUCUUGAGAGUUAUAGAUCUGAAGUCUAGUCAGAGAAUCUAGUUCUUGAUGUCUAUAUAAUGAAAGCAGUAAUAAAUAAUUACACAAUUGUACAAUGUCCUCUGGCUCAAUGGGUAACGUCAUUGGUACUUCAAUCUGACGUAGCCAAAGUACGUGUUCGAUAUCCGGCUUGAGCAAACAUUUUCUUAAAUAAUUUUGUAAAUAUUUUAUUUUAUUUUUUUAAAGUUUGACAAAGGAGGAAUUGUCUUUUUAUAAAUAAAUGUAUUUUUAGCAGCCCCCUAAAGGGGAAAAGACACUAUUAGUUUUGUGUGGAAUGUCUGUCCUUCCGUCUUUCCGUCCGUCCCGUUUAGAUUUCGUAAACUAGAAAACAUAAUGAAAAUUCAACAUAAUAAUAUUUUAAACUAUUUAAAGUUCUUAUGCAAUGGCUACUUUUUUAUUUUCUAAAAGCGAAAAAAUGUAACUUUUUUUCAUAAAUAUACACCUUUUUUGCAACUAAUCACUAUUACCAGUAACAAACACAGGUGACUCCUUAGGGAAGAUAACUAUAUAGGCCUACUAUAACUAUUUUCAACACAUUUAUGGAAACUUUUAGUUUUUAUGUAGGAAACCUAGAAUGGCGGAAGAGUCUAGUAAAGUGUUCUUAGUGAUAGAACAGAACAUACAAAAGGACAAGACAAUAAAAACCAUAAAAGACAAAGACGAAAUGGAAUGGAAACGUAAAAUUGUUUUAAAAAUUCGGAAAUAAUGACGAAAAACUUAAAAAAAUAUGUAUAAAAAAAGAACUGACAGACAUAGACAUACAAAUAAAAAUUCAUAGAAAACUGUAAGACAAUAACGACAGAAAAAAACAAUUAUAGACAGACCCUUUACCUUAGAGGAAUUGAGGGUGCCCUAGACAUUACAGUAAAACGAUAAAGCCACAGGCCCUGACGGUUUGACGUACGGAUUCUACAAAUCCUUUUCCUCCCAGAUAGGGCCCCUACUACUAACACUUUACAAAGAAAUGCCAGGAACAGGACAGACGCUCACAGAUUUUAAUCUCGCAUACAUUAUUUUAUUACCAAAAAAAAAAACCGAAGACAACACCACACCCAAGUGACUUCAGACUGAUCUCCCUGUUAAACACAGACUACAAGCUGCUGACGAAAAUGAUUUUCCUUAGAAUAAAACCCACAUCCCCCUUCUGAUAGGACAUGACUGUCACAGGCCAAAAGCUUGCUGACAAUGUCAUCCAAUUUUAUCACAGCAUUAAUUAUUAUUUAUUGAGUUCAUCCUUACUAUUUUCCCCUUCCAAGUAUAAUUGUAUACGUUGUCGUGUUACAUGGCUUAUCUCCCCUUUUCUUAGUACGAAUGUCAAACCACAUUUGCUACUUACCAGCUUGCCCAUCCGGGCCAGCCUCCAUUAUCCUUGUGUAAAGUCUAUCAACAUUGUUGUCUUUAUCUCUAGCGCGAGACGAUCUAAGCUUCUUUCAUCUUGCGAGGCAGCCAGACCGUCCCUUCCCAAGUUCCCCUUUGUCUAGACACUGAGCUUGUCACGUGUUUAUUAUGUUUAUUUGACUUGCAGAUCUUGAUGCUAUAAACUUGUGACAUAUGUGGGUUCAGAGGUGCCUUGAUUAUAGUUCAAACACUUUAAUAAUCAUGACGUAACAAAGUGCUGAUAUGUUUUCUUGAGUUUUAGUUAUUUAAAACUUUAACUUGAAACAAUAAAUGUAUGUACAAAGAGAUAUAUAUCUAUAUUAUAAAGUAGAAUGUGCGGUGUAUGUAUGUAUGUUACUUUAAUCCCAUUCAUUUAACAAAGCUAUCGCUCUUUUCGUUUUUAAUAGAUAAGAAUGUAUCGACUUCGGGUAAACCCAUUUUCGCAAAACUAAUUUUAUUUUCGUAGCGAAAGAGAAAUAACGUGAAAGGAUCAUCAGCUACGUUUAACCAUGGAACUAUACUAAUGGAACACCAGCUUCGAGUUUUUUACAAAGACAAAGAGAGUCGAAGUGCCGUCGCGCAUCUUUUUUCGCGCACCAUACCAUUUUGAAAAAUCGAUGAUGAUGCCAAAGAAGAAAUUUACUCCGAGAGCCACUUGGAUUGACCUUCAUUGAGAGUAAAACUUCCCCACACUAUAUUUUAUUAGAUCUGUAAAAACUUUAUGCAUUUUCUGACUAUCUGAUAAAAUAGAUACAAUUUUCCUGAAUAAGAGAUCGUCACAAAAGUUGUUUUUUUCGAUCACCCUAUAAAAUGCCACUUUUUUUCCAAAAAAUAGAAUCUAAAUUCCGAAAAUACAAUCUUUCAUUGUUUCUGUGUUUGGUUUAUUUACACUAAAUCUGGAUGAAGACCUGUCUACCGUUAUCUUAUCUUAUCUUAUAUAAUACAGACGUUACUUCAGAAAAGAAGAUGAUUACGUCCUACGCGUCAUGCAUUUAGUCAUGCAUAUUAACCAAUGACUUAAAUUCUACGCUAAAUGCGUAUUUGUUACGAUAUACUAAAUUGCACGAAAUAAAAAUAGGAGGCCUAAUACAGUUUUGACACUCCAAGCUAAGCAUUUCUAAUCGUUUUUUUUAUUAUUAUCGAAAGGACUAGGAUAUAGGCAUACACGUCUCGUGGGAAACAAAGAAAAAAGUUAAUCUUGAUAAUAUUGUAGCCUAAAUAAAAUGACAAAAAAAACAAAAACAAAACUAUAGCCUAAUCUAAAAUGAAAUAGAGCUAGAUUUUCUUGGACGAACGAUAUAAAAUAAUUAUAAAUAAUAAGUCAUAUGAAUCUGAUAGAUCUAAAACAAAUACUGAUAGAGUCAUUCACUAAUUAAUUAUUAGAAUUACUUGACUACCAACUGGGUAUUUUUAUUGCCAAAAUACAAUGUAUUUUAUGUGCAUUUAUUAAAAACAACAACCAAAAAUUAAGCGUUUGACGCAACUAGAUCUAAUAAUUGUAAUAUAUAGAUUCUAGUUCUAGAUCCAGAAAGCUACUUCUCUAAUUCAGUUUUCUAGUUUAAUUCUAGUUAGAUCUAGAUGUCUAGACCAGUAGAUCUAAAUCUAGCCAGGGAUUUUGUCAUGGAAUAGAUUUAUAAAACUUCAGCCACCUACUGAUCACGAUAUGACAGAUAGGCCUACUCUCUCUACUACUAGACUCUACAUCUAGAUUCUAGAUCUAGUAAAUCUAGUAGAUCACUACAUUUGACUAGAUGAUUACUAGGUCUAGAUCACAGUAAAAUUCAAUGUGUACUUCCGACUUUAGCUCAACAAACAAGUC